UCGGCACACUGCUCAGUAACACGUGGAUAACCUGCCCUAUCGUCUGGAAUAACCUCGGGAAACUGAGAAUAAGGCCGGAUAGUUCACAAUGCCUGGAACGGUUUGUGAAUCAAGGUAGGAUGGGUCUGCGGCGUAUCAGGUUGUAGGGGGUGUAAAGGACCCCCUAGCCUUCGACGCGUACGGGUGUUGGGAGACAUAGCCCGGAGAUGGAUUCUGAGACACGAAUCCAGACCCUACGGGGUGCAGCAGGCGCGAAAACUUCACACUGCAGGAAACUGUGAUGAGGGAACUCCUAGUGCAUGCACUAUGUGUAUGUAGAUCCUACUCUUAACAAGUAGAGGGAAAGGGCUGGGAAAGACCGGUGCCAGCCGCCGCGGUAAUACCGGCAGCUCAAGUGGUCGUCGCUUUUUAUUGGGCCUAAAACGUCCGUAGCCUGUUUGGUAAAUCUGUGGGUAAAUCAAUCCGCUCAACGGAUUGAAUUCUGCAGAGACUGCCAGACUAGGGACCGGGAGAGGUGUGGGGUACUCGAGGGGUAGGGGUAAAAUCCUGUCAUCCUUCGAGGACCACCAGUUGCGAAGGCGCCACACUGGAACGGAUCCGACGGUCAGGGACGAAGCCUAGGGGCACGAACCGGAUUAGAUACCCGGGUAGUCCUAGGUGUAAACGCUGUGAACUUGGUGUCGGGGGUCCGCAAGGGGUCCCCGGUGCCGGAGUGAAGAUGUUAAGUUCACUGCCUGGGGAGUACGGUCGCAAGGCUGAAACUUAAAGGAAUUGGCGGGGGAGCACUGCAACCGGGAGGAGCGUGCGGUUUAAUU
rnacentral:rRNA from 1 species